rnacentral:lncRNA from 1 species
GAUUAUUUGUUGAAGUUUAUUAUUUUGUAUUUUUGUUUGUUAUUAAAAGUAAAAAUCAAGUAGUGUAUUAUAUUUAUUGAAUAUUAAAAGUGACUAAAUUUACUUUAUUAAUAGAAUUUAAAAUAGUUUAGAAAGAAGUUAAGUAUCUUGAUAAAAUAGAAAUUUUAAUAAUAUAAUAAAUAGAUUUAAAAAUAUAUAUAUAUA